GAUGAACGCUGGCGGUGUGCCUAAUACAUGCAAGUCGAGCGAACAGACGAGGAGCUUACUCCUCUGACGUUAGCGGCGGACGGGUGAGUAACACGUGGAUAACCUACCUAUAAGACUGGGAUAACUUCGGGAAACCGGAGCUAAUCCCGGAUAACAUGUUGAACCGCAUGGUUCAACAGUGAAAGACGGUCUUGCUGUCACUUAUAGAUGGAUCCGGGUCGCAUUAGCUAGUUGGUAAGGUAACGGCUUACCAAGGCAACGAUGCGUAGCCGACCUGAGAGAGUGAUAGGCCACACUGGAACUGAGACACGGUCCAGACUCCUACGGGAGGCCGCAGUAGGGAAUCUUCCGCAAUGGGCGAAAGCCUGACGGAGCAACGCCGCGUGAGUGAAGAAGGUCUUCGGAUCGUAAAACUCUGUUAUUAGGGAAGAACAAAUGUGUAAGUAACUAUGCACGUCUUGACGGUACCUAAUCAGAAAGCCACGGCUAACUACGUG
rnacentral:rRNA from 1 species